UGGGGAAUAUUGGGCAAUGGGGCGCAAGCCUGACCCAGCAACACCGCGUGAGGGAAGAAGGUUUUCGGAUUGUAAACCUCUGUCGCAGAAGACGAAGGAAGUGACGGUAAUCUGUGAGGAAGCCUCGGCUAACUACGUGCCAGCAGCCGCGGUAAUACGUAGGGGGCGAGCGUUGUCCGGAAUGAUUGGGCGUAAAGGGCGCGUAGGCGGCCUGUUAAGUUUGAAGUGAAAGUCCUUCUUUUAAGGAGGGAAUUGCUUUGAAAACUGGCGGGCUUGAGUGCAGGAGAGGUAAGCGGAAUUCCCGGUGUAGCGGUGAAAUGCGUAGAGAUCGGGAGGAACACCAGUGGCGAAGGCGGCUUACUGGACUGUUGCUGACGCUGAGGCGCGAAAGUGUGGGGAGC
rnacentral:rRNA from 1 species